GUCCCUAUAGUUCAACAGGAUAGAACCGUUGCCUCCUAAGCAUCAGAUCCAGGUUCGAGUCCUGGUGGGGACG
rnacentral:tRNA from 1 species